CUCACCAAGCGGCAAGCUUUAUUUCAUCGUCUCCUUUUAUAUUUUUCGCCCCCCGCCUCCCCUUUUCGCCUCUUUUUUUUUUUUUUUUUUUUUUUCUCCCCUCCUUCCACCCCCGUUUUGCGAACGCCCCAAGGUGGACGCGGAGCGCCAAAAGACCUUGGCUUUAAAAAUGCCCAUGGAGCUGACGCAAAGCCGCAUCCAGAAGAUUUGGCUCCCCAAUGACAACCGGCCGGCGCUGCCCCGCCGCUCCUGUGGGCCGCAGCUCGCCAAUUCCCCCACUGUGAUAGUGAUGGUUGGCCUCCCGGCCCGGGGGAAGACCUACAUCUCCAAGAAGCUGACUCGCUACCUCAACUGGAUCGGCGUCCCGACUAAAGUUUUCAACGUGGGCGAGUAUCGCCGCGAGGCGGUGAAGCAUUACAGCUCCUAUGACUUCUUCCGCCCCGACAACGAGGAGGCCAUGAAAGUCCGGAGGCAGUGUGCCCUGGCUGCCCUGAGGGACGUCAAGCAGUACCUGACAGAGGAGGCUGGCCAGAUCGCGGUUUUUGAUGCCACCAAUACCACACGGGAGAGAAGAGGGAUGAUCCUAAACUUUGCCAAAGAAAAUGGGUUCAAGGUGUUCUUCAUUGAGUCUGUCUGCAAUGACCCCACGGUAGUUGCCACCAAUGUUAUGGAAGUAAAACUGUCCAGCCCUGAUUACCGGGACUGUAAUUCAACCGAUGCCAUGGAGGACUUUAUGAAGAGAAUCAAUUGUUACCAGGCCAGCUACCAGCCACUUGACCCUGAUGACUAUGACCGGGAGCUUUCUCUCAUCAAAGUCAUCGAUGUUGGCCGGAGGUUUCUGGUCAACAGGGUCCAGGAUCACAUCCAGAGCAGGAUUGUUUACUACCUGAUGAACAUCCAUGUCCAGCCCCGCACCAUUUACCUAUGUCGGCAUGGCGAGAGUGAGUUCAACCUCAAGGGAAAGAUUGGAGGUGACUCUGGCCUCUCCAACAGGGGCAAGAAGUUUGCACUGGCACUGAACAAAUUUGUUGAGGAGCAGAACCUAAAGGACCUCAAAGUCUGGACCAGCCAACUAAAGAGAACAAUCCAAACAGCAGAAGCACUCCAGUUGCCCUAUGAGCAGUGGAAGGCACUCAAUGAAAUAGAUGCUGGUGUGUGUGAAGAAAUGACCUAUGAAGAAAUCAGGGACCAACAUCCAGAGGAAUUUGUUUUACGCGAUCAGGAUAAAUAUUACUACCGCUAUCCUUCUGGAGAGUCCUACCAAGAUCUGGUGCAGCGCCUAGAGCCAGUCAUCAUGGAGCUGGAGAGACAAGAGAAUGUCCUCGUGAUCUGUCACCAGGCGGUCAUGCGCUGCCUCCUUGCUUACUUCUUGGACAAAAGUGCAGAUGAAAUGCCCUACCUGAAGUGUCCUCUUCACACAGUAUUGAAGCUGACCCCGGUGGCCUAUGGCUGCCGGGUGGAAUCCAUCUCUCUGAACAUCGAAGCUGUUAACACCCACAGGGAGCGGCCAGAGGAAGCAAAGAAGGGACCUAACCCGCUCAUGAGACGUAAUAGCGUUACCCCUCUAGCAAGCCCAGAGCCCACCAAAAAACCUCGCAUCAACAGCUUUGAGGAGCAUGUGGCUGUUUCUUCCGCCCUGCCAGGCUGUGUUCCUCAGGAAGUGCCCACGCAGCUGCCGGGACAACCUUUACUAGGAAAGGCAUGCCUAUGCUGCCUAAAUUCCUGCUUCCUCCCUGAGUAGUCACUGGAUGGGAGAUGCCGUUGGGUUUUCCUGGAGUUCUCUGUGGCAGCGCUUUGUAACACGACCAGUUUGUCACUUUCUCAAAGUUUUCUCUUUACUAAUAUUUCCAAGAACAUGAACAACUCGCAGAAGCCGUCGUGACUCUGUUGGCGCUGUCGCAAGGCCACCAGCGAUGCCAGCUCCCAUCCCAUCGUCAUUUCUUGAAGCUUGCUUGUAAAACCGGUCUCCUCCGUUUGCGGUGAGGUCGACCCUCGGCUGUUUCUAUCCACGCCCGUUCAUCUGCAAACUGCUCUGCUGAAGGGGGGAGAGAGGCAGGAGAGCGAAGGAGAGGAGGGAGACGAGCUCCCAGGUUCACCAGGUCUCCAGGCUUGCAGCAUUGCUCUCCUCUCCGGCGUCCUGCUAGAGCAUAGCAAGCUGUAAAGUGCUUCUAGUGCGCAGGCGUCUCCGAGUUUAAUUUUCCUUUGUAAGCGGUUUUGAUCUCCUUUUGUAUAGCUGAUUGGUACCCAUCCGUCUUGGGGUGGAGUGUAUAUAUGUGAAUGGUGUGGGGUUAGCAGAGAAACGGGGGGAAGAGGGGUGGGGGGAACAAAGGGGGACUUCAUUUUUAUUAUUAUUAUUACUAAUUAUUUUGCAAGGAAGCCCCUAACGCACUGUGCUGCAGUCCUCAACCCGCACCAGCUACAGCCUGUCGCACACCUUGUUGAGGUGCACAAGAACUGCUGGUUUAAACCAAAAAAUAAUAAUAGCAAAAAAUAUAUAUUUAUAUAUAUAAAACCCCAUAUGUCAACUGAUAUAGCUUGAAGGGGUGUGCAGAGAAUAUAAAUCUGCUGCUGAAACCGGCCAUGAGCUGCUUGUAGCAUAGAGGGGGAACCACACUGAUGCUGGCUUGGGCAGACCCCAGUCCCUGGGCUGCUCCGAGUUCAGGUGUGUUUUGAUUUUUUUGGCAAGGGGACUGAGUGCCACUUGAGGUGAUGUGCUGGUAAUUGGCCUCCUCUUUCCUCUGGCUCAGGGGGAAAGAGAUGUAGGGGGGUGAGAAUGCCUGCAGUGCUGCAGGAGGUAGGUGGCCGGGCUGAGCUGGAUGCGUCGUGCAGGCGAGCAGGUCUUUUGGAUGGCUCCUAGGAGUCCCGGUGUGUCUGCAAAAAGUCACGAGAAGAGACAUUUUUUUUUUAAUUUAAUCUAUACACAUGCACACGCAUGUGUGUGGGUAUAUGUAUAUAUAGAAACCGCUUGGUUUUUGCACUUUAUUUGUGGCAGGAGCUAUUUUAUUUCUUAUUUUUUUAAGCUGUGCCUCUUAACAGGGGAAGCCUGAAUGCAGGCAACUUUUUUUCUUUUUGCACGCUGGGAAGCUGGGACUACACAAAAGCAGUAGUUUUGGCUUCUGAGGUGUGCAUGUGUGCGUGCAGGGGAAAACGGGGCAAGGUCCUGGUUUGCGCUCCUUCAGCCCUUCAAACCACCUUCCUGGUGGCUUGAGAUACAAGAACCCUUCUUGGCAGCCUGGCCUAGGCUGUGAGCCAGCAGUUAAAGGACAAUUAACCACUACUGCUUUGUGCAAAAAUCUGUGGUUCCCUGCCCCAUCCUAUGUAUUGCUUUUUCUUUAUCCCUGUCUUGUGCUUUUUCCCUGCACAAGUGAGCUGGAGGCAGGAGGUGAAGGUGGUCAAGUCCUCCUUUAUCCCCUUUUUUGGGGGGGGACUGGAGAUGGGGCAGUCCUUUGGUUUUACCCCUCCUUUGGCUUCCUCCUCUCCCCGGGUAGGAACCAACAUCCAUGCAGAUGGGAGCAGAGUUUUGGGGGAAGUGUUUUUUUUUUUAUUUUUUAUUUUUUAUUUUUUGAAAUGUAUAUAUAUAUUUUUUUUUUUAGGUGGGGAGGUUGGUUCCUUUGCCCUUUGGGAAAAGGCGAACCGCAGUGCCUAGCACUUCAGUCUCAUGCAGCAAAAACCACGUUGCAUGGGCUCAACAGCAGGAUGGGUCUGGGACCGUGCUCAGUCCCUAUCCAACCCCAGGAGCCCAUCCUGGUGGUGCCCUGCCUGCGUGCGCAUGUCCAUACGUGUAUAUUCCUGUACAGACGAAACAAAAACACCUCCCCCUCCUUUUUUUAACCGCAUUAAAGCAGCGUCCUGCAUGCACGUGCGGUUGACGUCUGCCCUUUUGGUUUCCCUGACUUUGAGAGAGGGGAGUGCCUGGGGAGGGCGACUCGCUGGCCCUUGUAGCCCGUUUCCUGGGGAGUUAUCUUUCUCCUCCUGCUACCAGGAGAUAAGCUGGCAAAUGCAAACAUGACGUCUGGCUGCCCCUGAUCAGUCCUGUAAGCGUGUAAUUCUGCAGAUGUUUUGGCAUGUAUUUGUGUGUGUACAUAUAUGAAUUCAUAUAUAUAAAUCUGGAAAAAAACAUCCUUAAACUAUUUCUUCCUCUGGAAAUACUAAAAGUCUCAGUCCCACAAAAAGAUAAAACCUGGUCAUGUUUUUUUUUCUUUCUUUUGUGAUAUCUUUUCUUUUUUCCCCCAUCAAGAGGGAGCAGCAGAGUGGUCUUCUCUUGCUUUGGGGGUAGGUGGCAGGAUGGUGUCACCCCCAACCCAUUGAGUUUUGGCUAACAGAUCCAGGACCAGGCAAGGAUGCUGCAGCCAAGGAAGGUGGCCAGAGGGGACUUGUUGAACCACACCAGUAGUUUUCCCUCCACCCCCUUAUUUUUUUUGUUUUCCUUUGUGAUACUUGAAUUUAUUUUUUUAUGAUUUUUUUUUGAUAGCGAACUGCUUUUUAUUUAUUUAAUGUAUACUGCAGAGCUUGGAGAGAAGGGUAGUUACUUGGGAUUCUUUUUUUUGUGUGUGUGUGCUUUGUUAACUGUUCUGUAUAUACGUCUGGAAUAAUUGCCUGAUACAAAGCUGUGCCAGCUUAAAAACAGGGUAUGCCUUUCAGAAAUUUGUAUAUUUUGCAGUUGCUGGACCAAUAAAAUAUCUUGUUGAAAUAUGGA